AUGCUGUUCCUCCUGCCUGAAUGGAGUUCCUCCUCCCUUCUUGCCUGCCUGUUUCUUAUAGGGGACCUCAGCCUCUGCUGCCUCCAAGAAUAUCUCCCAAGCACCACUUCCCUCCCUCCACCAGGCUGGCCGGAGCCUUUUGUGCUCAUGGUCUGCCUGGCACAUACCAGUGACAGGCCUGGGGCUGAUUCCUCUUCAAGACCCUCUGAUUCUUUGCAUGUAUCAACGCUGACCAUAUAUGAAGAGGAUUGUCCAUUGUGGAUUUUGUAAUGUAGUCCCACAUGCACUGGAUCAAUGAACGACCGACCUUCCAGCACAGAGACAUGUAGAUUUUAUUCUCUGAGGAGGGAAUGACCCUGGCUUCCUGUUCAUAGCCUUGUACUAGCUAUGUAACUUAGGGUAAGUCAAAUCUUUCUCUUUCCUUACCUGAAAGUGAUGGAGAGACAGGAAGGACUGAACUUUGCUAGAUCUACCUGCGCUAGAUAUCGUCCCACCCCCAC
rnacentral:lncRNA from 1 species